rnacentral:rRNA from 1 species
GACGAACGCUGGCGGCGUGCCUAAUACAUGCAAGUCGAGCGGACGUUUUUGAAGCUUGCUUCAAAAACGUUAGCGGCGGACGGGGGAGUAACACGUGGGCAACCUACCUUAUCGACUGGGAUAACUCCGGGAAACCGGGGCUAAUGCCGGAUAACAUCUAGCACCUCCUGGUGCCAGAUUAAAAGAGGGCUUCUUGCUCUCACGAUGAGAUGGGCCCGCGGCGCAUUAGCUAGUUGGAGAGGUAACGGCUCCCCAAGGCGACGAUGCGUAGCCGACCUGAGAGGGUGAUCGGCCACACCGGGACUGAGACACGGCCCAGACUCCUACGGGAGGCAGCAGUAGGGAAUCUUCCGCAAUGGACGAAAGUCUGACGGAGCAACGCCGCGUGAGUGAUGAGGGGUUUCGGCUCGUAAAGCUCUGUUAUGAGGGAAGAACACGUACCGUUCGAAUAGGGCGGUACCUUGACGGUACCUCAUCAGAAAGCCACGGCUAACUACGUGCCAGCAGCCGCCGUAAUAC